AGUGAACGCUGGCGGUAGGCCUAACACAUGCAAGUCGAACGGCAGCACAGUAAGAGCUUGCUCUUACGGGUGGCGAGUGGCGGACGGGUGAGGAAUACAUCGGAAUCUACUUUUUCGUGGGGGAUAACGUAGGGAAACUUACGCUAAUACCGCAUACGACCUACGGGUGAAAGCAGGGGAUCUUCGGACCUUGCGCGAUUGAAUGAGCCGAUGUCGGAUUAGCUAGUUGGCGGGGUAAAGGCCCACCAAGGCGACGAUCCGUAGCUGGUCUGAGAGGAUGACUCGGCCACCUGGAAAGGAGAAAACGGCCCGACCCCCACGGGAGGGCGCAGGGGGGAAUAUUUGGAAAGGGGCGGAAGCCCGAACCAGCAACUCCGGGGGGGGGAAGAAGGCCUUUGGGUUGGAAAACCCUUUUUUUUGGGAAAAAAAAAAGGGGGGUUAAACCCCCGCGUUUCGACGGGAACCAAAAAAAAAGCCACGGCUAACUUUGGG
rnacentral:rRNA from 1 species